AUUGAACGCUGGCGGCAGGCCUAACACAUGCAAGUCGAGCGAGCGGCGGACGGGUGAGUAAUGUAUGGGGACUGCCCGAUCGAGGGGGAUAACUACUGGAAACGGUAGCUAAUACCGCAUACUAUCGGAUAACCCAUAUGGGAUUAGCUCGUCGGUGUGGUAAUGGCUCACCUAGGCGACGAUCCCUAGCUGGUCUGAGAGCAUGAUCAGCCAGACGGGGACUGAGACACGGCCCAGACUCCUACGGAGGAAGCAGGGGGGAAUAUUGCACAAUGGGAGAAAGCCUGAUGCAGCGAUGCCGCGUGUAUGAAGAAGGCCUUAGGGUUGUAAAGUACUUUCAGUCGGGAGGCGUUACCGACAGAAGAAGCACCGGCUAACUCCGUGCCAGCAGCCGCGGUAAUAC
rnacentral:rRNA from 1 species